rnacentral:rRNA from 1 species
ACGAACGCUGGCGGCGUGCUUAACACAUGCAAGUCGAACGGAAAGGCCCUGCUUUUGUGGGGUGCUCGAGUGGCGAACGGGUGAGUAACACGUGAGUAACCUGCCCUUGACUUUGGGAUAACUUCAGGAAACUGGGGCUAAUACCGGAUAGGAGCUCCUGCUGCAUGGUGGGGGUUGGAAAGUUUCGGCGGUUGGGGAUGGACUCGCGGCUUAUCAGCUUGUUGGUGGGGUAGUGGCUUACCAAGGCUUUGACGGGUAGCCGGCCUGAGAGGGUGACCGGCCACAUUGGGACUGAGAUACGGCCCAGACUCCUACGGGAGGCAGCAGUGGGGAAUAUUGCACAACGGGCGGAAGCCUGAUGCAGCAACGCCGCGUGCGGGAUGACGGCCUUCGGGUUGUAAACCGCUUUCGCCUGUGACGAAGCGUGAGUGACGGUAAUGGGUAAAGAAGCACCGGCUAACUACGUG